ensembl:lncRNA
UAGUAAUUAGGGGUAGACAAUUCUAAUUCAGUUCUAUAGUAAUUAGGGGUAGACAAUUCUAAUUCAGCUCUAUAGUAAUUAGGGGUAGACAAUUCUAAUUCAGCUCUAUAGUAAUUAGGGGUAGACAAUUCUAAUUCAGUUCUAUAGUAAUUAGGGGUAGACAAUUCUAAUUCAGUUCUAUAGUAAUUAGGGGUAGACAAUUCAUAUUUCAUUUUAUAAUUACCAGGUGUAGAAAAUUCUGAUUUCACAUAUUAGAAAAGUAGUCAGGUGUUCUAAUAAUAAUAAUAAUAAUAAUAAAUUUAAAAUCUGGUUUUCUUUGAUAUUAAUCAGGUGUAGAAUUCAAAUUUUGUUGGCCCUAUUAAUUUCAAAUUCAGAUACACCUUUUUAAAGCAUUUUAAAUGUCAUUUUAGCCGAUGAUGAGGUGUUUUAGUUCAUUUGAACCUGAAGAUUUGCGCUGGAUUAAAUUUGAAUUUUCUAAACCUGAUCAUUAUGAAAUUUUGUUUUAACUCUUGCACGGA